rnacentral:rRNA from 1 species
CAGCCGCCGCGGUAAUACGUAGGUCCCGAGCGUUGUCCGGAUUUAUUGGGCGUAAAGCGAGCGCAGGCGGUUAGAUAAGUCUGAAGUUAAAGGCUGUGGCUUAACCAUAGUACGCUUUGGAAACUGUUUAACUUGAGUGCAAGAGGGGAGAGUGGAAUUCCAUGUGUAGCGGUGAAAUGCGUAGAUAUAUGGAGGAACACCGGUGGCGAAAGCGACUCUCUGGCUUGUAACUGACGCUGAGGCUCGAAAGCGUGGGGAGCAAACAGGAUUAGAUACCCCGGUAGUCCCUGUCUCUUAUACA